rnacentral:rRNA from 1 species
GACGAACGCUGGCGGCACGCCUAACACAUGCAAGUCGAACGGACUUAAACGACCUUGCUUUUUUAAGUUAGUGGCGAACGGGUGAGUAACACGUGAGCAACCUGCCUCUGAGAGGGGGAUAGCUUCUGGAAACGGAUGCUAAUACCCCAUAAAAUAUCAAUAUCCCUUGAUAGAUAUAACAAAGAAAUGCGCUCAGAGAUGGGCUCGCGCCUGAUUAGAUGGUUGGUGAGGUAACGGCUCACCAAGUCGACGACGAGUAGCCGGACUGAGAGGAACCGCUAGAUUUGGACUGCGGCACGGACCCGACCGGGACGGGGGGGAGGAGUAGGUAAUAUUGCGCAAUGGAGGGAACUCUGAUGCAGCGAUGCCGCGUAGAGGGAGAAGGUUUUCGGAUUGUAAAUUCCUUUUAGCAGGGACGUGAAUGACGGUAAUUGAAGAAAAAGCUCCGGCUAACUACGUG